AAUGAUGAACAAAAUGGAUAACAAGUUAAACAAUGAUAAACACUUCCCAGACAUGCUUCUGACUAUAUAAUUAAAUAUGCAAAGGUAAUAUGAUACAGGAAACUUAAGAAAAUCUGAUGGGGAUCAAUCCCAGUUAAAAUAACAUUUUCAUCAUUGCAAAAGUCCUUGGUUAUUUGCAGAAGGAUAAAAUUCCUAAUAUUACCACUUUUCAUCUAAUUUAUA
rnacentral:lncRNA from 1 species